GACGAACGCUGGCGGCGUGCCUAAUACAUGCAAGUCGAACGCAGGAAGUCGACGGGACCCUUCGGGGGGAAGUCGACGGAAUGAGCGGCGGACGGGUGAGUAACACGUAAAGAACCUGCCCUCAGGUCUGGGAUAACCACGAGAAAUCGGGGCUAAUACCGGAUGGGUCAUCGGACCGCAUGGUCCGAGGAUGAAAGGCGCUCCGGCGUCGCCUGGGGAUGGCUUUGCGGUGCAUUAGCUAGUUGGUGGGGUAAUGGCCACCAAGGCGACGAUGCAUAGCGGACCUGAGAGGGGGAUCGGCCAAACUGGGACUGAGACACGGCCCAGACUCCUACGGGAGGCAGCAGUAGGGAAUCUUCCACAAUGGACGAAAGUCUGAUGGAGCAACGCCGCGUGAACGAUGAAGGCCUUCGGGUCGUAAAGUUCUGUUGUAAGGGAAGAACAAGUGCCGCAGGCAAUGGCGGCACCUUGACGGUACCUUGCGAGAAAGCCACGGCUAACUACGUGCCAGCCGCCGCCGUAAAAC
rnacentral:rRNA from 1 species